rnacentral:misc_RNA from 1 species
AUACCUCAAACCCCAAUGUUUUUUGAAAGAAAUUCAUUGCUUGGGUUUGGUUGUGGGCCGUUCUUGCUGUGUCAAAGCAGCUGGCCUUAAAGAGAUUAGCUGGACUAUCCGACUCUUGGUAGUUUCCACUUGAUGUGAUAAAAUUGCAUUGGUGGGCCAAAGACUGCUGAAGGACAGAGGAGUCUGCUUCCAACCCGGCGCGAGGCUUUAAACCCUCAACCCAUUUCAUUUACAU